UCCGUCGCGAGGCGGAAUCUGAAGGUAGCCGGCGGCAAACCUCCGGCCCAAAGCAUCGUCAAGCUUGGUGAACCGCCGUAUACCGAACGGUACGUACGGUGGUGUGAGAGGACGGGGGCUAGC
rfam:Thermacetogenium phaeum DSM 12270, complete genome.